GUAGGUGAACCUGCGGAAGGAUCAUUCAUAAUAAGUGUUCUACUGCACUUUUUAAAAAUAGUACUCACCUUGUGUGCAAUGUUGUGUGAAUUUCACACCUACACCAACCUUCAAUUUGAACCACUUUGUCUGAAAAACUAUUAUGAAUACUUAAUUCAAAAUACAACUUUCAACAACGGAUCUCUUGGCUCUCGCAUCGAUGAAGAACGCAGCAUCUGACUGACUUCAGGUUGCGGAAUCUCGUAUGCCG
rnacentral:misc_RNA from 1 species